rnacentral:rRNA from 1 species
CAGCCGCCACGGUAAUACGUAGGGUGCAAGCGUUAAUCGGAAUUACUGGGCGUAAAGCGCACGCAGGCGGUUUGUUAAGUCAGAUGUGAAAUCCCCGGGCUCAACCUGGGAACUGCAUCUGAUACUGGCAAGCUUGAGUCUCGUAGAGGGGGGUAGAAUUCCAGGUGUAGCGGUGAAAUGCGUAGAGAUCUGGAGGAAUACCGGUGGCGAAGGCGGCCCCCUGGACGAAGACUGACGCUCAGGUGCGAAAGCGUGGGGAGCAAACAGGAUUAGAUACCCCAGUAGUCCCUGUCUCUUAUAC